CUCCCAUCACUUCCCCCCCACCACACCUCUAAUGUUUUCCCAUAUAUAAUCCAAACUCUAGCCCAGUUGUUAGUAAUUGAUGGAGUGGAGGACGGACACAUCAACUCGUUAAUUAAGGAGCAGCUGUCAGCAAAAGAGUUGCAAUAAAGAAAAUCGCCCGAGGGGAUUGAAGCAGACGGAGAGCAGCGCGCGGAGACAGGCGAAGGAAGGAAAGGAAAGGAAAGGAAAGGAAAGGAAAGGAAAGGAAAGGAAAGGAAAGGAAAGGGGGGGAAGACUGCUUCAGGUGACCGAGUCGCGAUGGAGGCGCGCGGCAAGCGUGAUUAGGGAGCACCGCUUGUUGGAAAGCGCUCGCUUUGUCCAGGUGGAUUACAAAGUGAACAAGCACCAGAACUGACCGGGACCGCCCUUUGUCUUGCUAUUUCACUUGGACGGAUUAUCUCACAAUCAUGAACGUGUCGCCCCCGGACCGCAGGAAAAACGUGCUGCGAGAGCUGGCUUUGGAGAUUGGCAUCCGAGUUCUGCUUUUCGGAGUUUUUGUAAUGACUCUUUGCCGAGAAGGAUGUGCCUCACAGGCAGCAGCCUUCAAAACUAACAUAAAUAUGAAAUAUUAAUUGUUUGUCUGGCCUGGAGUGAUUAAAAGCUUUGUUUGCAUCAG